AGCAGCCGCGGUAAUUCCAGCUCCAAUAGCGUAUAUUAAAGUUGUUGCAGUUAAAAAGCUCGUAGUUGAAUUUCGGGAUUGACACAUCGGUCGUGCCUUAAGGGGUAUGAACUGGUGUAGUCAAUUUCUCACCUUCUGGAGAACCGCGAUGUCCUUAAUUGGGUGCCGCGAGGAACCAGGACCUUUACUUUGAAAAAAUUAGAGUGUUUAAAGCAGGCAUUUUUGCUUGAAUACAUUAGCAUGGAAUAAUAAAAUAGGACGGCAUGAUUCUAUUUUGUUGGUUUCUAGGAUCACCGUAAUGAUUAAUAGGGAUAGUUGGGGGCAUUAGUAUUCAAUUGUCAGAGGUGAAAUUCUUGGAUUUAUUGAAGACUAACUACUGCGAAAGCAUUUUGCCAAGGAUGUUUUCAUUAAUCAAGAACGAAGGUUAAGGGAUCGAAGACGAUCAGAUACCGUCGUAGUCUUAACCAUAAACUAUGCCGACUAGGAAUCAGACGAUGUUAAUUUUUUAAUGACUCGUUUGGCACC
rnacentral:rRNA from 1 species